AACGAACGCUGGCGGCGUGCCUAAUACAUGCAAGUCGAACGGUCUUUUCUAUGGAGGCUUGCUUCCGCUGAGAAGAUAGUGGCGAACGGGUGAGUAACACGUGGGUAACCUGCCCAUAAGAGGGGGAUAACAUCCGGAAACGGGUGCUAAUACCGCAUAGUUUUCUUGAUCGCAUGAUUGAGAAAGGAAAGACGGCCUUUGUGCUGUCGCUUAUGGAUGGACCCGCGGCGUAUUGGUUAGUUGGUGAGGUAACGGCUCACCAAGACGAUGAUACGUAGCCGACCUGAGAGGGUGAUCGGCCACAUUGGGACUGCGACACGGCCCAAACUCCUACGGGAGGCAGCAGUAGGGAAUCUUCCGCAAUGGACGAAAGUCUGACGGAGCAACGCCGCGUGAGUGAAGAAGGUUUUCGGAUCGUAAAACUCUGUCGUCAGAGAAGAACAAGUCGGAGAGUAACUGCUCCGGCCUUGACGGUAUCUGACCAGAAAGCCACGGCUAACUACGUGCCAGCAGCCGCGGUAAGAC
rnacentral:rRNA from 1 species